UCAUUUUAGUAGCAAAUAUACUAAAAUCAGAACUAUAUAGCCAAGAUUAGCAUGAUCCCUGCACUAAAAUGACAUACAAAUUAAUAAAGCAUUACAUUUUUUU